AUUGAACGCUGGCGGCAUGCCUUACACAUGCAAGUCGAACGGUAACAGGUUAAGCUGGCGAGUGGCGAACGGGUGAGUAAUGUAUCGGAACGUGCCCAGUCGUGGGGGAUAACUGCUCGAAAGAGCAGCUAAUACCGCAUACGACCUGAGGGUGAAAGCGGGGGAUCGCAAGACCUCGCGCGAUUGGAGCGGCCGAUAUCAGAUUAGGUAGUUGGUGAGGUAAAGGCUCACCAAGCCGACGAUCUGUAGCUGGUCUGAGAGGACGACCAGCCACACUGGGACUGAGACACGGCCCAGACUCCGACGGGAGGCAGCAGUGGGGAAUUUUGGACAAUGGGCGCAAGCCUGAUCCAGCCAUGCCGCGUGCGGGAAGAAGGCCUUCGGGUUGUAAACCGCUUUUGUCAGGGAAGAAAAGGUUCUGGCUAAUACCUGGGACUCAUGACGGUACCUGAAGAAUAAGCACCGGCUAACUACGUG
rnacentral:rRNA from 1 species